rnacentral:rRNA from 1 species
UACAACAUAGUGUUAAUUCACCAGAUACCAUUAUAACUCCAUAGUUAAGCACACUUAGGCUAGAGUAGUACUGGGAUGGGUGAACAACUGGGAAGUCCUAGUGUUUUAC